rnacentral:rRNA from 1 species
CUCCUACGGGUGGCUGCAGCUAGGAAUCUUGGGAAUGGGCGAAAGCCUGACCCAGCAACGCCGCGUGGGCGAUGAAGGCCUUCGGGUCGUAAAGCCCUUUUGAGGGGGACGAUGAUGACGGUACCCCUCGAAUAAGCCACGGCUAACUACGUGCCAGCAGCCGCGGUAAUACGUAGGUGGCAAGCGUUGUCCGGAUUUACUGGGCGUAAAGGGCGUGCAGGCGGUUUGUUUAGCCUAGGGUGAAAGCUCCCGGCUUAACUGGGAGAGGUCCUUGGAUACUGGCAAACUUGAGGGAGGCAGAGGAAAGUGGAAUUCCCGGUGUAGUGGUGAUAUGCGUAGAUAUCGGGAGGAACACCAGUGGCGAAGGCGGCUUUCUGGGCCUUACCUGACGCUGAGACGCGAAAGCGUGGGGAGCGAACCGGAUUAGAUACCCGGGUAGUCCACGCCGUAAACUAUGGACACUAGGUGUGGGGGGUAUCGACCCCCUCCGUGCCGCAGCUAACGCAAUAAGUGUCCCGCCUGGGGAGUACGGCCGCAAGGCUA